rnacentral:rRNA from 1 species
UACGAAGGACCCGAGCGUUAUCCGGAUUUAUUGGGUUUAAAGGGUGCGUAGGCGGACUUACAAGUCAGUGGUGAAAUCUCCCCGCUCAACGGGGAAACUGCCAUUGAAACUAUUUGUCUUGAGUACAUUUGAGGCGGGCGGAAUGUGUCAUGUAGAGGUGAAAUUCUUAGAUAUGACACAGAACACCAAUUGCGAAGGCAGCUCGCUAAACUGUAACUGACGCUGAGGCACGAAAGCGUGGGUAGCAAACGGG